AUUGAACGCUGGCGGCAGGCCUAACACAUGCAAGUCGAACGCGUGCCGGGCGGGUGAGUAAUGUCUGGGGAACUGCCCCCUGGAGGGGGAUAACUACUGUAAACGGUAGCUAAUACCGCAUACCCUCGGAUGUGCCCAGAUGGGGUUAGCUAGUAGGUGGGGUAACGGCUCACCUAGGCGACGCUCCCUAGCUGGUCUGAGAGGAUGACCAGCCACACUGGAACUGAGACACGGUCCAGACUCCUACGGGAGGCAGCAGUGGGGAAUAUUGCACAAUGGGCGCAAGCCUGAUGCAGCCAUGCCGCGUGUAUGAAGAAGGCCUUAGGGUUGUAAAGUACUUUCAGCGAGGAGGCGUUACUCGCAGAAGAAGCACCGGCUAACUCCGUGCCAGCAGCCGCGGUAAUUC
rnacentral:rRNA from 1 species